AGAGUUUGAUCCUGGCUCAGGACGAACGCUGGCGGCGUGCUUAACACAUGCAAGUCGAACGAUGAAGCCCAGCUUGCUGGGUGGAUUAGUGGCGAACGGGUGAGUAACACGUGAGUAACCUGCCCUUGACUUCGGGAUAACUCCGGGAAACCGGGGCUAAUACUGGAUAUGAGCCGUCCUCGCAUGGGGGUGGUUGGAAAGUUUUUCGGUCAGGGAUGGGCUCGCGGCCUAUCAGCUUGUUGGUGGGGUGAUGGCCUACCAAGGCGACGACGGGUAGCCGGCCUGAGAGGGCGACCGGCCACACUGGGACUGAGACACGGCCCAGACUCCUACGGGAGGCAGCAGUGGGGAAUAUUGCACAAUGGGCGCAAGCCUGAUGCAGCAACGCCGCGUGAGGGAUGAAGGCCUUCGGGUUGUAAACCUCUUUCAGCAGGGAAGAAGCGCAAGUGACGGUACCUGCAGAAGAAGCGCCGGCUAACUACGUGCCAGCAGCCGCGGUAAUACGUAGGGCGCAAGCGUUGUCCGGAAUUAUUGGGCGUAAAGAGCUCGUAGGCGGUUUGUCGCGUCUGGUGUGAAAACUCGAGGCUCAACCUCGAGCUUGCAUCGGUACGGGCAGACUAGAGUGCGGUAGGGGAGACUGGAAUUCCUGGUGUAGCGGUGGAAUGCGCAGAUAUCAGGAGGAACACCGAUGGCGAAGGCAGGUCUCUGGGCCGCAACUGACGCUGAGGAGCGAAAGCAUGGGGAGCGAACAGGAUUAGAUACCCUGGUAGUCCAUGCCGUAAACGUUGGGCACUAGGUGUGGGGCUCAUUCCACGAGUUCCGUGCCGCAGCAAACGCAUUAAGUGCCCCGCCUGGGGAGUACGGCCGCAAGGCUAAAACUCAAAGGAAUUGACGGGGGC
rnacentral:rRNA from 1 species